UUUCAAUCACCACCAGUGAUCAGUGAGGGAAAAUCUAAGACAGAACAGUGAAGUAGGAUGUUACAGCAAGCCAAACACAAGAACAGUGGUUCUAAAACUCCAUCCUGCAGCAGGAUCAUCUGGAAUGCUUAAAGAAAGAAGGUUUCAGAACCAUUGCAUUAGGAUCCUAUAUCCACUGUCUACAUUUCGUCUUCACUUGAACUAAAAGGCAUGACCAAAUCAAACUCUAAAUCUUGUUUUCUGUGAUCCAUGGUUUCUCGAUGGAGGAGAUUCCCUUUGCCGGCAUUUGAAAUCUGUAUGGAAGUACACCAUCAGCAAAUCCCCUCGUCAUCUGUCUGCUCUUCUCUCCUGCCUUUGCCCCUAAGUGCCAUCCAGGUGGCUUUCUUUUUUAUUUCUUCUUCUUUUUUUAAUGUACGGAUCUACUGAUGGAGGUUGGGAGGGACACUCUUAUCAUUGUGAGAAAUUAUAAGCAGACUCCAUCUGCAUUCAGAAAUCACAAAGGGAAGUAAAACAGCUAUGCCUGCAUAAUCCAGAUGUUGAUGAAUACAGGGACCCAGAAUGCCCUUCCAUCCUUCAAAAACAUUCCAAAGCCCAACCUACAAUCAAAAUCAAGACCAUCCAACAGCAAGGAGUUGAACAAUAAAACUUAAUUACUAUAACACUUGCAAGGCCAAGAUUCAAUAGAUUAUGUGCUCUUAAUCAAAAUAUAGAAUAUAUCUCUAAAAUAAACUUCGCAGUUUCCCAAGAUCAGAAUUCUCUUAAAACGAAAAUAAAAGCUUUGGUUUGUACCAAAUAUGUUUGUUUUUCCUGCCUAAUAAUUCCUAGCUUAGAGGAUAAGUUAAUAUUUUUUAAGUAAAGGACUAAUAUAUAUCUACAGUAGUGCCUUUUUUUUCUUUCUUUCUUUUCUUUUCUUUUUUUUUUU
rnacentral:lncRNA from 1 species